rnacentral:misc_RNA from 1 species
GCGGAUGGGGGCCGGCGAUGUGCCCCAGUCGGAUGUGGAACGGUGACGAGCCGGUCCGCCGAUCGACUUGGGGCAUGGACCGAUGCGGAUUGAGACGGCGGCCUACGCCCAGGCCUUUGUUACGCCUGUGGAGACGUCGUCGUCCCGAUCGUGGCUGGCAGCGCGCGCCUCCGGGCGGGCUUCGGCAUCUGCGCGCUCCUGGCAUCGGCCUGUGGGCUCCCCA